rnacentral:rRNA from 1 species
UGGUUGAUUCUGCCAGUAGUGUAUGCUUUUCCUGAAGACUAAGCCAUGCAUGCCUUCGAAUAAGAGGAAGCAAUUCUCUCUGAAUCUGCGUACGGCUCCGCACACCAGUUGUAAAACACAGCGAGCAAGCUGGGUACCGAGGCUCGCAAGGGCGUAGGUGCUCGGCCAUAUGGAUAACCCUGGUAAUUCUGAGGCUAAUACACGACACUCACCUGCCGACUGGACCUCGGUUCGGGAAGCGGGGGAUGUGCGACCGUUUGGGCUAAUAAACCGGAAAGAGCGCACGUUCAGACCACGCUAAAAGGGUCGGGAAGCCUUCGGGUGACCUGACCUGUGGCUCUUGCAAGGUGCUUCUGACCUAUCAACUAGACGGCAGCCUAAGGGACAUGCUACGGUGACAACGGGUACAGAGGAUAAGGGUUCGAUCCUGGAGAGUGGGCCUGAGAGAUUGCUCAUACUUCUAAGGAAGGCAGCAGGCGCGCAACGUUCCCAUUGGACAUCGUCUGAGGGCGUUAGGGGAAAUAUUAAUACCUGCCCAAUGGGUGGGUAAUUAAAAUGGGUUUGUUGUAAACAGGCUCUCGAGUAACAAUUAGAGGACAAGUC